rnacentral:rRNA from 1 species
UAGUCGGAGGUGUGUCUCGGACGGUCGGUUCGCCGCUUGUCGGUGCUCAACUGGCCGGUCCGGACGUCCUGCCGGUGGGGCCGCGAGGCUCCGUGAUCCUUCUUUGGUCCUCUUCACUGAGUGCCUUGGUGGGCCGGCACGUUUACUUUGAACAAAUUAGAGUGCUCAAAGCAGGCCGUUGGUCGCCUGAAUACUGUGUGCAUGGAAUAAUGGAAUAGGACCUCGGUUCCAUUUUGUUGGUUUUCAGAACUCGAGGUAAUGAUUAAUAGGGACGGACGGGGGCAUUCGUAUUGCGACGUUAGAGGUGAAAUUCUUGGAUCGUCGCAAGACGAACCGAUGCGAAAGCAUUUGCCAAGAACGUUUUCGUUGAUCAAGAACGAAAGUUAGAGGUUCGAAGGCGAUCAGAUACCGCCCUAGUUCUAACCAUAAACGAUGCCAGCUAGCCAUCCGCCGAAGUUCCUUCUAUGACUCGGCGGGCAGCUUCCGGGAAACCAAAGCUCUUGGGUUCCGGGGGAAGUAU